AUUCAUGAUACUAUUAAUCAUAAUAACCCAACACUAGAAACAAAAUAAAUGUCCUUUUAACCAUCAAUAAAAAAGUAAUAUGUGGAUAUAGUCCCACAAAAGAAUAUGAUACAGCAAGAUCAAUGAAUAAACUAUAGCCACAUGCAACAUCAAAGACAGAUUUAUAAAAAUAAUGAUUAGCAAGAGAAGAUAUGAAAGAAUACACAUCAAUAUUCAGUAAUAUAAAAUUUUAAAAGGCAAAACCUACUUAUAGUAUUUAGAGAUAAGUGCUUGGGUAGCAACAAAUACAAAUGGAGCAAGAAAAUGAUAAAAUCAGGACAGUAUUUGGCUUUGGAGAAGAUGAAAGAGAUCCUGAAGGUGCAGGGCCAUGGAGGGCUUCUAAGAUACCAUCUCAAUGUUGUUAUUUCUUAACCUUGAUGGUGUUUGUGCAGGUAUUCUUAUCAUGGUAAAGCAUUCAGUUCUUUAUUUUAUGCACUUCCACAAAUAUAUGCUAUAUUUCAAGUUUGAAAACAGAAAGGUUCAACGCCCCUUCUGGAAAGAUCUAACUGGACAAGACCAAGUCCCACGUUUAUACACUAGUGGCCAAAAUGAGGGGCAUGAAAAAUUUCAGAAGCCAUUGAAUGGGAGUUGACAAUUCUGUAACGUGUAAAGGUGGGCAAGAAUCUGAAGGAUGAUGCAGAUAUAGCAUAUAACAGUACUUCUAGCAAUUAAUUUAAAAUCAGCAGAGGCAUGCAAGCUUGAAAAUAAUGAAUUCACAAAUGAUCAGAAAUUAUCACUUCUGAUGUGAAUUCUGUGCUAAAGGUUCAGUGAGUUUUGAAACAUUCUAUGUGAGAUUGAAUUCUGGAGUUGGGUUGUGAAAAAAAACAAAAAGAAACAAAAGGCAGUUCAUUUCACUGAUAAUGAUUUUUUGUCUUACAUGAUGGCUCAUACAGAGCAUGUAAAAUCUAGUUAGUGCAUUUUUUUAUAGCUGGAAAUCAUGACACUUAACUGGAAGGAUGUGUGAGUUGAGGCUGG
rnacentral:lncRNA from 1 species